ACCUCCACCACUUCCUCCUUCCCAGUUGCCUCCACUGCUUGACAAUGUUACGGCUCUAUUAACCAUGAAUAUUUAACCACCGAGAGAGAGAGAAACACAAACAUCAACUCUGGCUGGACUCCAUCCGAGCGUCCUCUCCGACAGAUGCCUUCAAUUCGUUCAUGUCAACUCGGAGCACGUGACCUUGCUGUCGUCUCGCUCGCAUUCAACAAGAAGCUCCGCUGAGCAGCCCUCAUGCGUGGCCUGAUGAAUCACGAAGCGCAUCUGUGAACACCGCACGGAAACUUACACGGCUUGCCGGUGACCCCGUGAUGGUCCUGUGGGGGACGGACAUGCGGAGACACAUCACCGUGACGGUGCCCCGCGGGGGGCUGGAAAGUCGCGGGAGCAGCCGGAUCGCUCACAGCUCCGGCGGCAGCGACCGCGGCGGCCGGACGAGCAGCAGCAGCAGCAACAACAACAUCAUCAGCAGCAGCAGGAGGAGGAGGUCGGCCUCGGAGAGCCGCGUGGCCCAGGGUGAACGCGAGACGCGGGCCCCAGCGGCUCCCGGCGAUGAGGCCGCCACGCAACCUGGUCGGGCCCACGCACCGGCACAACAAUUUGUCGCGACGUCCAAUCUGCACA